rnacentral:rRNA from 1 species
GAUGAACGCUGGCGGCGUGCCUAAUACAUGCAAGUCGAGCGAACAGACGAGGAGCUUGCUCCUCUGACGUUAGCGGCGGACGGGUGAGUAACACGUGGAUAACCUACCUAUAAGACUGGGAUAACUUCGGGAAACCGGCGCUAAUACCGGAUAAUAUCUUGAACCGCAUGGGUCAAUAGUGAAAGACGGUUUUGCUGUAUCUUAUAGAGGGUUCCUCGCCGCAUUAGGUAGUUGUUACGGUAACGGCUUUCCAAGGCAACGAUGCGUAUCCGACCUGAGAGGGUGAUAGGCGGCCUUGGAACUGAAACAGCGUCCUACCUCCUACGAGACGCAACAGUAUGGUAGCGGCCGCAAUAGUCGAAAACCUGACGGAGCGACCCCACGUGUGUGAUGGAAGUCUUCGGAUCGUGAAAAUCUGUUAUUGGGGAAGAACAGAUGUCUAAGUAACUAUACACGGCGUGACGGUACUUAAUCAGGAAGCCACGGCUAACUACGUG